UUCCCCUAGUAACGGCGAGUGAAGCGGGAAGAGCUCAAAUUUGUAAUCUGGCGGCUUCCGGUCGUCCGAGUUGUAGUCUGGAGAAGCGUUUUCCGUGCCGGACCGUGUACAAGUCCCUUGGAACAGGGCGUCGUAGAGGGUGAGAAUCCCGUCUCUGACACGGACUGCCGGUGCUCUGUGAUGCGCUCUCGAAGAGUCGAGUUGUUUGGGAAUGCAGCUCAAAAUGGGUGGUAAAUUCCAUCUAAAGCUAAAUACGGGCGAAAGACCGAUAGCGAACAAGUACCGUGAGGGAAAGAUGAAAAGCACUUUGGAAAGAGAGUUAAACAGUACGUGAAAUUGUUGAAAGGGAAACGCUUGAAGUCAGUCGCGUCUUCCGAGACUCAACCGGGUUCUCGCUCGGUGCACUUCUCGGUGUGACGGGCCAGCAUCGAUUUCGACCGUCGGAGAAAGGCUCGGGGAAAGUGGCACCUUCGGGUGUGUUAUAGCCCCCUGUCGUAUGCGAAGGUCGGGAUCGAGGACCGCAGCGUGCCCUUCACCGGGCCGGGGUUCGCCCACGUAACGCGCUUAGGAUGCUGGCGUAAUGGCUUUAAGCGACCCGUCUUGAAACACGGACCAAGGAGUCUAACGUGCCUGCGAGUGUUUGGGUGGAAAACCCUUGCGCGUAAUGAAAGUGAAAGGUCGGGACCUCUGUCGUGGAGGGCACCGACGCCCGGACCAGACCUUCUGUGACGGUUCCGAGGUAGAGCAUGUAUGUUGGGACCCGAAAGAUGGUGAACUAUGCUUGAGUAGGGUGAAGCCAGAGGAAACUCUGGUGGAGGCUCGUAGCGAUUCUGACGUGCAAAUCGAUCGUCGAACUUGGGUAUAGGGGCGAAAGACU
rnacentral:rRNA from 1 species